rnacentral:lncRNA from 7 species
CUUCCCCAGCCGCAAACGGGCGCGGUCGAUUUCCGCGUCGCUGCGCGCGCUAGCUGGGGCUUCUCCGGGCCCAACCCAAACUGACCAAGGGGGGAACAUAUAUUUCUGCCUGAGCUUCCCUCGUCCUCUUGUUACGCCACUACAAGCCCUAGCCACCACCGUUGAGAGAGGAACGCCAACCGCGCAAGCCUGUUCCGCCGAGGGAGGGAGGAAACACCGACCGCCUGCCUACGUCGCCGCUCGGGGACCAUCGGGGAGCCGGGGGAGUUCGCAAUUGCUCGAAGAACCUCUGCGCAGAGCCACUGGGAUGGGGAUCGACUGGGUCGACAAGGAUUGCUCAACUGAGUCCCUUCCAUCACCAUCGGUCCGAUUCGCGUGGUUCGUGCCAACCUCGUCCCCAUAUUCGACGAGCAAGUGGUCGAGGAACCCAGAACUCAAAAGGUGGAAAACUCUGAGUAAGAGCUCGUU